GCAAAUGAUCACCAUCACCAUCACCAUCACCACCACCAUCACCAUCACCACCGGCUCCACAUGUUUAGCAGUAAACACAUUGAAAAACUUGUCAACCCUUCAGUUUCUGGAUCUAUCAAACAAUAAUAUCCACCAAAUAAGACCAGGUGCAUUCAAUGGCCUUCGCAAUCUACACAAGCUUGUACUUGCAGAGAAUUAUCUUAAGGAGAUACGUCCUUCGACUUUCAAUGGCCUGCUCAAUCUCAGAAACCU